rnacentral:rRNA from 1 species
CAAGCAGCGGAGCGUGUGGUUUAAUUCGAUGCAACGCGAAGAACCUUACCAAGGCUUGACAUGCCAGAAGUAGGAACUUGAAAGAGAGACCACCUGUAUUCAGUCAGGAACUGGCACAGGUGCUGCAUGGCUGUCGUCAGCUCGUGCCGUGAGAUGUUGGGUUAAGUCCCGUAACGAGCGCAACCCUUGUCCUUAGUUACCAGCACGUUAAGGUGGGCACUCUAAGGAGACUGCCGGUGACAAACCGGAGGAAGGUGGGGAUGACGUCAAGUCAUCAUGGCCCUUACGGCCUGGGCUACACACGUGCUACAAUGGUCGGUACAAAGGGUUGCCAAGCCGCGAGGUGGAGCUAAUCCCAUAAAACCGAUCGUAGUCCGGAUCGCAGUCUGCAACUCGACUGCGUGAAGUCGGAAUCGCUAGUAAUCGUGAAUCAGAAUGUCACGGUGAAUACGUUCCCGGGCCUU